UUGAAUCGAAUCUGUCGACUUUAGCAAUCACGUGACGGCCAACAGGAGGGACUCUGACUGCGUGUCUUCUUCAGGACAAGAGUUUCCCUGAAUCCAUCGAAGUGGGUCGUGAAAUUUCCUGCAAGAUCAUGGACCGACUUGCGAGUGUAAUUGGACAACAACAUACAGGUCUGACGGUGGGAUUGAGUUUGAUGAUCAUCGUUGUGAUUAUCGUCCUCGCGGCUGUUGUUUACACUCCACCCGGCGCCACAGCGCGCUGCUUGAGAAGAAACAGGAGUGAAGAAAUCCUCUCCCUGACUGCUAACAGAAUUUCAUGACUGCUAACAGAAAAAAUAUGAACUUUAUGGAUCUUUGUGUUGGACUCACAACAUAGAAUAAACUGUUAAACCAUUAAUAGGGGGACUGUGAACACUGUUUACCCCUUUAAAUAGUGGUUUAUUAAAGGAUUAGUUCACUUUCAAAUGAAAAUUACCCCAAGCUUUACUCACCCUCAAGCCAUCCUAGGUGUAUAUGACUUUCUUCUUUCUGAUGAACACAAUCGUAGAAAUAUUAAUAAAUAUCCUGACUCAUCCGAGCUUUAUGCGUUACCAAACGAGUAUGAACUGAAGAAAGUGUCUCCAUCCAUCAUAAACAUAUUCCACACGGCUCUGGAGGGUUAAUAAAGGCCUUCUGAAGCGAAGCGAUGCGUUUGUGUAAAAAAAAAAUCCAUAUUUAACAAGUUAUAAAGUAAAAUAUGUAGCUUCUGCCAGACCGCCUUCCGUAUUCUUCAAAAAAAGCUUACGCUGUAUGUCCUACGCCUUCCCUAUUCAAAUUACGGAAAAAAACGGAAUUAUAAAGCUCGAAUGAGUCAGGAUAUUUAUUAAUAUUUCUACGAUUGUGUUCAUCAGAAGGAAGAAAGCCAUAUACACCUAGGAUGGCUUGAGAGUGAGUAAAGCUUCUGGAUAUUUAAUUUGAAAGUGAACUAAUCCUUUAAAAAUGACUUCCAAACAAAUCCAUUUCCAAACACAUGAAAGUUUAAUAACAUGUUAAAUGUCAUGGAAAUUUCUUUUACACAAAUAAGUAUCAUGGUAUAAAUCUCUAAAUUCUGGUACCUGCAUACAAAUGGAAAUCCUCCUCUGCAAUCUCUGUAAAAUGGUUAUAUUAAAAUUACAUAGGCAAUAAUCAGGAACAAACAGAAACAGCCUAACGUUACAUAGGCCAGAAAACAAUGGGACUGACAUGUAGACCUUUCUAUGCGUUCUUCAAUUGUCACGAAUUUCUAUUCAAUAUUAGAGACUUUUACAUUCUUUAUCAUGUGGAUUUAAUGUUUAUACAAGAACACAAACUCAAUUACACUCAAGAACUCUUAUCUGUUUAAUGACAGGACUUUACACAGGCUGCAAUUCCAGUAGAUAACCACUAGAAGGACUAGUGCUCUGUGGAAAAUAUGAGAGUCUCCAUGUAGGCCUAUCCCCAUAAGUGCUACAGCAUUUAUUCUUUUUCAUUUAAAGGUAACUAAUGAUUUUGAGAUAUUUGCAAUUGAUUUUUAAAUAGCUUCAUGGUAUAACUAAACAUACUUGUGAUGUUUCAUAUACCAUUGCAUCAGAAAUAGUGCUAUUAAUUUUUUCAUUUGCUUUCACAUGGUGAACGCUGAUUAUUAUGCAGGUCAUUCUGACAUAUAAGACAUCUCAAAUCAUUUUAAACAUGAUUUAAUACUAAGAAUCACAAAAAUAAUGGGUGCUCAAUGCUACUCCAGUAAGAAUAUGUCCACUGCAUCAGAAUUAAAGUGGUUCAGCUUCA